rnacentral:pre_miRNA from 2 species
GUCGGGAAGAGGAAGAAAAGAGGGCAUAAGAGCAGUGGGAAUGGGAACAUGGAGGGAAACCAAACUUGCUUUGGUUUCACCUCUAGUGUUGGAGGUCACGAGGUGAGAAGUUGAUUUGGUGUUUCCCGAUGCCUCCCAUUUCUAUUGUUCUCAAGCACUCCUUACUCUUCCCUUUUUGG